rnacentral:rRNA from 1 species
UAGGGAAUAUUGCUCAAUGGGGGAAACCCUGAAGCAGCAACGCCGCGUGGAGGAUGAAGGUUUUCGGAUUGUAAACUCCUUUUGUUUAGAGAAGAUAAUGACGGUAUCUAACGAAUAAGCACCGGCUAACUCCGUGCC